rnacentral:misc_RNA from 1 species
GAAAUGCGAUAAGUAAUGUGAAUUGCAGAAUUCCGUGAAUCAUCGAAUCUUUGAACGCACAUUGCGCCCUCUGGUAUUCCGGGGGGCAUGCCUGUCCGAGCGUCAUUGCGAACCCCUCAAGCACGGCUUGCGUGAUGGGCCCUCCCGCGUCUUGGUCGUCAAGACGGGCACGAAAAGCAGUGGCGGCUUCGCGGUUAUCCGAUCAGCCAGAGCGUAUGGGGACUUUCUCUCUGUCACACGCCCGCGGCGCGGACCGACGCCUGUCGACCUUUAUUCAUCUUUUUCUCGGUUGACCUCGGAUCAGGUAGGGAUACCCGCUGAACUUAAGC